GAUGAGCGCUGGCGGCGUGCCUAAUACAUGCAAGUCGAGCGAACAGACGAGGAGCUUGCUCCUCUGACGUUAGCGGCGGACGGGUGAGUAACACGUGGAUAACCUACCUAUAAGACUGGGAUAACUUCGGGAAACCGGAGCUAAUACCGGAUAAUAUAUUGAACCGCAUGGUUCAAUAGUGAAAGACGGUUUUGCUGUCACUUAUAGAUGGAUCCGCGCCGCAUUAGCUAGUUGGUAAGGUAACGGCUUACCAAGGCAACGAUGCGUAGCCGACCUGAGAGGGUGAUCGGCCACACUGGAACUGAGACACGGUCCAGACUCCUACGGGAGGCAGCAGUAGGGAAUCUGCCGCAAUGGGCGAAAGCCUGACGGAGCAACGCCGCGUGAGUGAUGAAGGUCUUCGGAUCGUAAACUCUGUUAUUAGGGAAGAACAAAUGUGUAAGUAACUAUGCACGUCUUGACGGUACCUAAUCAGAAAGCCACGGCUAACUACGUG
rnacentral:rRNA from 1 species